UACGUAGGGUGCGAGCGUUAAUCGGAAUUACUGGGCGUAAAGCGUGCGCAGGCGGUGAUGUAAGACCGAUGUGAAAUCCCCGGGCUUAACCUGGGAACUGCAUUGGUGACUGCAUCGCUCGAGUAUGGCAGAGGGGGUAGAAUUCCACGUGUAGCAGUGAAAUGCGUAGAGAUGUGGAGGAAUACCGAUGGCGAAGGCAGCCCCCUGGUCAAUACUGACGCUCAUGCACGAAAGCGUGGGGAGCAAACAGG
rnacentral:rRNA from 1 species